rnacentral:rRNA from 1 species
GUCUAUGGCCAUGCCCUGAAUGUGCCUGAUCUCAUUUGAUCUCAGAAGCUAAGCAGAGUCAGUCCUGGUUAGUACUUGGAUGGGAGACCACCUAGGAAGACCAGGUGCUGUAGGUG